rnacentral:ncRNA from 1 species
GCGAAAUAGUCGGGGGGCCCAUGCAUUGAAUGCGUCGGCUGAGAUCGAAAUCGAGACCCGUUGAACCUGAUUCAGUUAGCACUGACGUAGGGAACUAUCAUCACUUUGCC